CACGAAUUCGUGUGAGCUAACCUACUUAUCCUAAUAUGUGGCAUAAUAUUAUCAAAAUUUGGGUUAGGGGUGAAAGGCCUCUCAAAAACGACGAUAUCUUGAAGUAAGCGAAAAAAAUCUAGUUUUAAGGUGAUUACAAAGUUAUAAGAUUUUGUAAGAGGUUAAAUGUUUAUACGUAAAAUAUGUCGGUAUAAAAACCAACAUUAAUACAGCAAAUUAUUACACAAGUGAGAUUUAUUAUAUUAGUUUACGGUAACAUAACUUCUGCAUAAUCAUUAUGUUAAUAUUAGUAUCUUAGAGAUAUUAAUAGUGAACUCGGCAAAAAGCUUUCAACUGUUUAUCAAAAACAUAGUCACUUGUCUCACAUGUGGUGUGUUCUGCUCAAUGAUAUUUAAAUAGCCGCAGUACCCUGACUGUGCAAAGGUAGCGUAAUCAUUUGUCUUUUAAUUGGAGUCGUGUAUGAAUGAAUGCAUGGGGGCUUACUUUACCAUUAAUAAAAUUUGAAAUUACUCUAAGAGGUGAAAAGACCUCUAAUUUUAAAAUAGACGAGAAGACCCUAGAAAUUUGCAAAGCGGUUUUGUUGGGGCAACAUAGUAGACAAACCUACUCAAUGAACAUGACAUAAGCUUGUUUGAUUAAAUUACUCUAGGGAUAACAGCAUAAUUCUUAUGAGUUUGUGACCUCGAUGUUGGAUUAGGGAACUAUAACUUAGAA
rnacentral:rRNA from 1 species